rnacentral:rRNA from 1 species
UACAGAGGUCUCAAGCGUUGUUCGGAUUCAUUGGGCGUAAAGGGCGCGUAGGCGGCGUGACAAGUCACUUGUGAAAUCUCCGGGCUUAACUCGGAGCGGCCAAGUGAUACUGUCGUGCUAGAGUGCGGAAGGGGCUACUGGAAUUCUCGGUGUAGCGGUGAAAUGCGUAGAUAUCGAGAGGAACACCUGCGGCGAAGGCGGGUAGCUGGGCCGACACUGACGCUGAGGCGCGAAAGCUAGGGGAGCGAACGGG